CGUGCGGGUUGGGGAGCGGGUGAUCCGGGGCGUACGCGGCGCGCAGCUGCGCAGCGAGGGUCUGCCGUUCUGGUCGACGCCCGCGCGGCC
rnacentral:tRNA from 1 species